AGUCGAGCGGGGUGANGUAGCUUGCUACAUUACCUAGCGGCGGACGGGUGAGUAAUGCUUAGGAAUCUGCCUAUUAGUGGGGGACAACAUUCCGAAAGGAAUGCUAAUACCGCAUACGCCCUACGGGGGAAAGCAGGGGAUCUUCGGACCUUGCGCUAAUAGAUGAGCCUAAGUCAGAUUAGCUAGUUGGUGGGGUAAAGGCCUACCAAGGCGACGAUCUGUAGCGGGUCUGAGAGGAUGAUCCGCCACACUGGGACUGAGACACGGCCCAGACUCCUACGGGAGGCAGCAGUGGGGAAUAUUGGACAAUGGGCGAAAGCCUGAUCCAGCCAUGCCGCGUGUGUGAAGAAGGCCUUUUGGUUGUAAAGCACUUUAAGCGAGGAGGAGGCUACUUAGAUUAAUACUCUAAGAUAGUGGACGUUACUCGCAGAAUAAGCACCGGCUAACUCUGUGCCAGCAGCCGCGGUAAUACAGAGGGUGCGAGCGUUAAUCGGAUUUACUGGGCGUAAAGCGUGCGUAGGCGGCUUUUUAAGUUGGAUGUGAAAUCCCUGAGCUUAACUUAGGAAUUGCAUUCGAUACUGGGAAGCUAGAGUAUGGGAGAGGAUGGUAGAAUUCCAGGUGUAGCGGUGAAAUGCGUAGAGAUCUGGAGGAAUACCGAUGGCGAAGGCAGCCAUCUGGCCUAAUACUGACGCUGAGGUACGAAAGCAUGGGGAGCAAACAGGAUUAGAUACCCUGNUAGUCCAUGCCGUAAACGAUGUCUACUAGCCGUUGGGGCCUUUGANGCUUUAGUGGCGCAGCUAACGCGAUAAGUAGACCGCCUGGGGAGUACGGUCGCAAGACUAAAACUCAAAUGAAUUGACGGGGGCCCGCACAANCGGUGGAGCAUGUGGUUUAAUUCGAUGCANCGCNGAAGAACCUUACCUGGUCUUGACAUA
rnacentral:rRNA from 1 species